rnacentral:ncRNA from 2 species
AUAUUAUUGCGGGGGGACUCGUUAGAGUUGAGAAGGUAGAACCUGACCCUUUGAACCUGUCAGUUAAUACUGUCGUAGGGAAGCAAAACCAGAUUAGUU